CAUGAUUGCUAGUUGUUCGUAGAAUUCAUCUAAAUUGAUCUCGCUGUUCAUGUUCACACGCUGCCAUCCUCUUCUUAUCUUCAGUCUUCAAGGCCCUCGGUGAUCUUCCUUCUUUCUUCGUCGUGAUUGCUAGGUGUUCGUAGAAUUCAUCUAAAUUGAUCUCGCUGUUCAUGUUCACACGCUGCCAUCCUCUUCUUAUCUUCAGUCUUCAAGGCCCUCGGUGAUCUUCCUUCUUUCUUCGUCGUGAUUGCUAGGUGUUCGUAGAAUUCAUCUAAAUUGAUCUCGCUGUUCAUGUUCACACGCUGCCAUCCUCUUCUUAUCUUCAGUCUUCAAGGCCCUCGGUGAUCUUCCUUCUUUCUUCGUCGUGAUUGCUAGGUGUUCGUAGAAUUCAUCUAAAUUGAUCUUGCUGUUCAUGUUCACAUGCUGCCAUCCUCUUCUUAUCUUCAGUCUUCAAGGCCCUCGGCGAUCUUCCUUCUUCUUUCUUCGUCGUGAUUGCUAGGUGUUCGUAGAAUUCAUCUAAAUUGAUCUCGCUGUUCAUGUUCACACGCUGCCAUCCUCUUCUUAUCUUCAGCCUUCAAAGCCCAUGGCGAUCUUCCUUCUUCUUUCUUCGUCGUGAUUGCUAGGUGUUCGUAGAAUUCAUCUAAAUUGAUCUCGCUGUUCAUGUUCACACGCUGCCAUCCUCUUCUUAUCUUCAGUCUUCAAGGCCCUCGGCGAUCUUCCUUCUUCUUUCUUCGUAGUGAUUGCUAAGUGUUCGUAGAAUACAUCUAAAUUGAUCUCGCUGUUGAUGUUCACAUGCUGCCAUCCUCUUCUUAUCUUCAGUCUUCAAGGCCCUCGGCGAUCUUCCUUCUUCUUUCUUCGUAGUGAUUGCUAAGUGUUCGUAGAAUACAUCUAAAUUGAUCUCGCUGUUGAUGUUCACAUGCUGCCAUCCUCUUUUUAUCUUCAGUCUUCAAAGGCCUCGGCGAUCUUCUUAUCUUCUUUCUUCGUCGUGAUUGCUAGGUGUUCGUAGAAUUCAUCUAAAUUGAUCUCGCUGUUUACACGCGCUGUCCUCUCCUCUUACUUCAUUCUUCACAAGCCUAUGUUAUCUUAAUUCUUCGUGUCAUCUUCAUCUUGAUUGCUAGGUAGUCGUAGUCUUCAUCUAAUUUGAUCUAGCUGUUCAUAGUCACACGCGGUCUUCUUUGUUCUUCUUGGUUUAGCUUA